rnacentral:misc_RNA from 1 species
AAAUCCUUAUUUCUGCCUCAACUUCUAUUUCCCAGUUCUCUAUUCUUUUCACAAGUUUUUCUUCUCCCUUUUUGUCUGUAAUUUUCUUCCAAUUCCAAUAUUAGUUCCAUGCUCUGAAUCCCUGCUUCAGGUCUGAUUUUCUUUUAAUAUUUUCUUCCUCAAAUUUUCCUGAAAAUAAAAUACACUCAGAGUAUCAAACCAUGGACAUACUAUUUUUGGAACAAAAGGAUCUCAAGGGAAUGUUAGAAGUUUUUGAAAGAAGAGUAACAAAACGCUUAGAGGAGUUGCUGUAUCAAAAAUGGAAAAAAUUAGAUAAGUUGUUAGAAGAGCAAAUAGAAAGAAGAGAAAGAAGGGAAAAAUUAUUUCAAGAGGCACAAUCCAAAAGUCAAUUUCAAGAUUUGGAGCUGAGAUCCCAAAUUCCAGGGGGUUUUACAGAAAAUGGAAAGAAAACAGAAAAUGUUGCAGCCUUUACUAAUGAAGAUGCAUUCGAAUUGUGUCUUGCACAAUGAAGGAAAACAUUACAAGAUCUAGAGCAGGAUUUUCUACCUCAUAUGUCUUGUACAAACUAAGGUUCAGAGGAGAAGAAUGAUGAAGAUGUAGACGACAACAACCACGGGAUCGAAGUUUAUUGGGGUGAUGACAGGGAUUUGGAAAAGAACAAGGAGAGUGUGGCUAAGGAGGAGACCGUCUCCCUUGAUCAUAAGAUUCAGGGGGAUGGAGAUGUGAAGAAGUCAAUUCAAAAGAAGGAGCAAAAAUUUCAAAUUCUCAAAGAUUCUAUUCAGUAAAGCUUUGAGAAUGAUGUUAAUGGUGUAAAUGAUGAGAACGCUCAGGGUUUUGAGAAUGUUGACAUUUUUUAAGCUUUACUAAAUCCUAGUUUUCAAGAACUGGAGCUUGGAAAAAUUUCAGAAGCUGGCCAUGUAGAUUCAAGCAACCUGGUUCAGCAUGGGCAUGAUCUUGCAAUUCUUAUGGGCAAAGCAUCAAAGAUUGAUAAGUACGAAGAAGCUACUGAUUUACUAAAUGCAACAUUAGCUGCAAGUGAUCUUGAUUUGAUAGAUAUAUUGGAUAACCAACUCAUCUCAAGAGAAAAACAUAUGAAAAGGGUGUUGCAUCCAGGGAAAGUGAUUAGGUUUUACUCUGUCAAUGGAAAUAUUACUGCAGGAGAAGAUGUGGAAGUUUAUGAAGAGGAUAGAGGUGGAAACGAGUUUUGGAGUUUUGGGAAUAAUAUAUUGGAGAUAAGAUCAUGUAGGCAUAUAAUGCUCAAAGAGAAUGAAUUUGAAAUGUGGAGGAGGCAGAAGAAGAAAAUCCAAUUUUGUCAACGGAGGAUUUCUGAAUUGGAAAUGUCGUGGAAUUGGAAAUGCCAAUAAUGAUGAUAAUAAUGCCUAUCUUCCCAAUUUUUCACUUCAAAAGUCUUGAUGCAGAUGGGUAGAGAUUCAACAAGCAUAUAGGGGUUAGCUUCUUGUAUUCAUUUUUGGGGACAAGAAUGAUUUCAAGGGAUGGGGAAUGUUAUGACUAAGGGAUGGGAUGAGUAAAUGAGUUGACUGGGCUGGAUAAGU